GACGAACGCUGGCGGCGUGCCUAAUACAUGCAAGUAGAACGCACAGUUUAUACCGUAGCUUGCUACACCAUAGACUGUGAGUUGCGAACGGGUGAGUAACGCGUAGGUAACCUGCCUGGUAGCGGGGGAUAACUAUUGGAAACGAUAGCUAAUACCGCAUAAUAUCGAUUAUUACAUGAUAAUUGAUUGAAAGAUCCUAUUGCAUCACUACCAGAUGGACCUGCGUUGUAUUAGCUAGUAGGUGAGGUAACGGCUCACCUAGGCGACGAUACAUAGCCGACCUGAGAGGGUGAUCGGCCACACUGGGACUGAGACACGGCCCAGACUCCUACGGGAGGCAGCAGUAGGGAAUCUUCGGCAAUGGACGAAAGUCUGACCGAGCAACGCCGCGUGAGUGAAGAAGGUUUUCGGAUCGUAAAGCUCUGUUGUAAGAGAAGAACGGGUGUGAGAGUGGAAAGUUCACACUGUGACGGUAUCUUACCAGAAAGGGACGGCUAACUACGUG
rnacentral:rRNA from 1 species